rnacentral:rRNA from 1 species
UACGGGGGGAGCAAGCGUUGUUCGGAUUUACUGGGCGUAAAGCGCGCGUAGGCGGAUAUUUAAGUCAGGGGUGAAAUCCCAGGGCUCAACCCUGGAACUGCCUUUGAUACUGGAUGUCUGGAGAUCGGGAGAGGUUGGUGGAAUUCCGAGUGUAGAGGUGAAAUUCGUAGAUAUUCGGAGGAACACCAGAAGCGAAGGCGGCCAACUGGCCCGAUACUGACGCUGAGGCGCGAAAGCGUGGGGAGCAAACAGG